UCUGCCUUCUCUUUGGCAAGAUAAUGGCCAA
rnacentral:piRNA from 1 species